GAUGAACGCUGGCGGCGUGCCUAAUACAUGCAAGUCGAGCGAACAGACGAGGAGCUUGCUCCUCUGACGUUAGCGGCGGACGGGUGAGUAACACGUGGAUAACCUACCUAUAAGACUGGGAUAACUUCGGGAAACCGGAGCUAAUACCGGAUAAUAUAUUGAACCGCAUGGUUCAAUAGUGAAAGACGGUUUUGCUGUCACUUAUAGAUGGAUCCGCGCCGCAUUAGCUAGUUGGUAAGGUAACGGCUUACCAAGGCAACGAUGCGUAGCCGACCUGAGAGGGUGAUCGGCCACACUGGAACUGAGACACGGUCCAGACUCCUACGGGAGGCAGCAGUAGGGAAUCUUCCGCAAUGGGCGAAGGCUUGACGGAGCAACGCCGCGUGAGUGAUGAAGGUCUUCGGAUCGUAAAACUCUGUUAUUAGGGAAGAACAAAUGUGUAAGUAGCUAUGCACGUCUUGACGGUACCUAAUCAGAAAGCCACGGCUAACUACGUG
rnacentral:rRNA from 1 species